UUUAAAGUCUAAUCUGCCCGAUGAAUUAUUCAAUGGCUGCGGUAUUUUGACCGUACAAAGGUAGCAUAAUAAUUAGUUUUUUGAUUGAAAACUGGUAUGAAUGAUUGGACAAGAAAAUUACUGUCUCAAUUUAAUUUGUAUAGAAUUUUAUAUUUAAGUAAAAAAGCUUAAAUAAUUUUAAAAGACGAGAAGACCCUAUAGAGUUUUAUAUUAAUUUUAUUUAAUUUAAUUUAGAAUUGAUUUUAUUAUUUAAUAAUUAUUAUUUUAUUGGGGUGAUAGGAAAAUUUAAUUAACUUUUCUUUUUAUUUUACAUUAAUAUAUGAUUAUUUGAUCCAUUAAUUAUGAUUAUAAGAUAAAAUUACCUUAGGGAUAACAGCGUAAUUUUUUUUGAAAGUUCUUAUUGAAAAAAAAGUUUGCGACCUCGAUGUUGGAUUAAA
rnacentral:rRNA from 1 species